GACGAACGCUGGCGGCGUGCCUAAUACAUGCAAGUAGAACGCACAGUUUAUACCGUAGCUUGCUACACCAUAGACUGUGAGUUGCGAACUGGUGAGUAACGCGUAGGUAACCUGCCUGGUAGCGGGGGAUAACUAUUGGAAACGAUAGCUAAUACCGCAUAAUAUUAAUUAUUGCAUGAUAAUUAAUUGAAAGGUGCAAUUGCACCACUACCAGCUGGACCUGCGUUGUAUUAGCUAGUAGGUGAGGUAACGGCUCACCUAGGCGACGAUACAUAGCCGACCUGAGGUGGUGAUCGGCCACACUGGGACUGGGACACGGCCCAGACUCCUACGGGAGGCAGCAGUAGGGAAUCUUCGGCAAUGGACGAAAGUCUGACCGAGCAACGCCGCGUGAGUGAAGAAGGUUUUCGGAUCGUAAAGCUCUGUUGUAAGAGAAGAACGGGUGUGAGAGUGGAAAGUUCACACUGUGACGGUAUCUUACCAGAAAGGGACGGCUAACUACGUG
rnacentral:rRNA from 1 species